rnacentral:rRNA from 1 species
UACGAAGGGGGCUAGCGUUGUUCGGAAUCACUGGGCGUAAAGGGCGCGUAGGCGGCUUUAUAAGUCGGGGGUGAAAGCCUGUGGCUCAACCACAGAAUUGCCUUCGAUACUGUAGAGCUUGAGACCGGAAGAGGUAAGUGGAACUGCGAGUGUAGAGGUGAAAUUCGUAGAUAUUCGCAAGAACACCAGUGGCGAAGGCGGCUCACUGGCCCGGUACUGACGCUGAGGUGGCGAAAGCGGUGGGGAGCAAACAGG